AACGAACGUUGGCGGCGUGGAUUAGGCAUGCAAGUCGAACGAGAAAGUCACCUUCGGGUGGCGAGUAAAGUGGCGAACGGGUGAGUAACGCGUGGGAAAUCUGCCCUACAGUUGGGGAUAACACUCCUAACGGGGUGCUAAUACCGAAUGAGACCACGAAGUCGCAUGGCUUUGGGGUUAAAGGUGGCCUCUCCUUGGAAGCUACCGCUGAAGGAGGAUCCCGCGUCCCAUUAGCUUGUUGGUAGGGUAACGGCCUACCAAGGCACCGAUGGGUAGCUGGUCUGAGAGGAUGGUCAGCCACACUGGGACUGAGAUACGGCCCAG
rnacentral:rRNA from 1 species